rnacentral:misc_RNA from 1 species
GAUGAAGAACGCAGCGAAAUGCGAUACUUGGUGUGAAUUGCAGAAUCCCGUGAACCAUCGAGUCUUUGAACGCAAGUUGCGCCCGAAGCCAUUAGGCCGAGGGCACGCCUGCCUGGGCGUCACACGUCGUUGCCCCCCCAUCUUCUCCUUCGGGAUUGCGGGGGGCGGAUGAUGGCCUCCCGUGCGCCUCGUCGCGCGGUUGGCAUAAAUGCCAAGUCCUCGGCGACGCACGCCACGACAAUCGGUGGUUGCGAAACCUCGGUUGCCCGUCGUGUGCGGUCGUCGCGCAUCGAGGGCUCGAAAAAAUUGCCGGGCUCCGGCUCGGCUUUCAACGCGACCCCAGGUCAGGCGGGGUUACCCGCUGAAUUUAAGCAUAUCAAUAAGCGGAGGA